rnacentral:rRNA from 1 species
GCGGUAGGCCUAACACAUGCAAGUCGAACGGCAGCACAGAGGAGCUUGCUCCUUGGGUGGCGAGUGGCGAACGGGUGAGUAAUGCAUCGGAACGUGCCCGAUCGUGGGGGAUAACGCAGCGAAAGCUGCGCUAAUACCGCAUACGAUCUGAGGAUGAAAGCGGGGGACCGUAAGGCCUCGCGCGAUCGGAGCGGCCGAUGUCAGAUUAGGUAGUUGGUGGGGUAAAGGCCCACCAAGCCGACGAUCUGUAGCUGGUCUGGGAGGACGACCGGCCAACCUGGGACGGAGACACGGCCCAGACUCCUACGGGAGGCAGCAGUGGGGAAUUUUGGACAAUGGGCGAAAGCCUGAUCCAGCAAUGCCGCGUGCAGGAAGAAGGCCUUCGGGUUGUAAACUGCUUUUGUACGGAGCGAAAAGGUCCUUUCUAAUACAAGGGGCUCAUGACGGUACCGUAAGAAUAAGCACCGGCUAACUACGUGCCAGCCGCCGCAGUAA